rnacentral:rRNA from 1 species
CAGUGGACGGACGGGUGAUUCGUGUCUGGGAAGCCGCCUGAAGGAGGAGGAUAACUACUGAAAACGGUAGCUAAUACCGCAUACCUUCGCCCGACCGGUUAGGGGGACCUUCAGGGCUCUUGCCGUCACAUGUGCCCGGAUGGGAUUAGCUUUUACGUGGGGUAACGGCUCACCUUCGCCACGAUCCCUAUCUGGACUGAAACGAUGACCGUGAUCACUGGAACUGAGACUGAGUCCCGACUCCUACUCCAGGCAGCAGUGGGGAAUAUUGCUCAAUGGGCGCGAGCCAGAUGCAGACAUGCCGCCUGUAUGAAAAAGGCCUUCGGGUUGUAAUGUACUUUCUCCGGGGAUGAAGGGAAUAAAGUGAAUACCUUUGCGCUUUGACCUUGCCCGCACAAAAAGCACCGGCUAACUCCGUGCCCGCACCCGCGGCAAUAGUAAGGGUGCAGGCGUUAAUCUGAAUUACUGGUCGUGAAGCGCACGCGCGCGGAUUGUUUUGUCUGAUGUGAAUUCCCCGGCCUCCGGCUGGGAACUGCAUCUGAUACUGGCACUCUUGAAUCUCGUAGAGGAGGAUGAAAUUCCAAGUGUACCGGUGAAAUGCAUAUACAUCUAGAUGAGUACCGAGUGGCGAUGGCGGCCG